rnacentral:rRNA from 1 species
CCGGCGCACGGGUGAGUAACACGUAUCCAACCUGCCGUCUACUCUUGGACAGCCUUCUGAAAGGAAGAUUAAUACAAGAUGGCAUCAUGAGUCCGCAUGUUCACAUGAUUAAAGGUAUUCCGGUAGACGAUGGGGAUGCGUUCCAUUAGAUAGUAGGCGGGGUAACGGCCCACCUAGUCUUCGAUGGAUAGGGGUUCUGAGAGGAAGGUCCCCCACAUUGGAACUGAGACACGGUCCAAACUCCUACGGGAGGCAGCAGUGAGGAAUAUUGGUCAAUGGGCGCAGGCCUGAACCAGCCAAGUAGCGUGAAGGAUGACUGCCCUAUGGGUUGUAAACUUCUUUUAUAAAGGAAUAAAGUCGGGUAUGUAUACCCGUUUGCAUGUACUUUAUGAAUAAGGAUCGGCUAACUCCGUGCCAGCAGCCGCGGUAAUACGGAGGAUCCGAGCGUUAUCCGGAUUUAUUGGGUUUAAAGGGAGCGUAGAUGGAUGUUUAAGUCAGUUGUGAAAGUUUGCGGCUCAACCGUAAAAUUGCAGUUGAUACUGGAUAUCUUGAGUGCAGUUGAGGCAGGCGGAAUUCGUGGUGUAGCGGUGAAAUGCUUAGAUAUCACGAAGAACUCCGAUUGCGAAGGCAGCCUGCU